UAGUUAGCCCUCUUGUUAAUUACGAUGGAUGCACAUGCACUUGUGUUGGGUUAUGUGAAUAAGUUGUUUAUCAAUCUGCUGUUCGAAGGAAUCGUCGUAGUAAAACCACUAGAGGGAGUAUGAGGUAGGUAUAUUAAUUUUUCUCAUAAAUUUGUACUUCAAAUAUUGUUCUGAACCUGCUGACAUUGCGCGAACCAUUCGAAAAAAAUCAAUAUUUACUAAUUAUUUUGAAUA